AUUGAACGCUGGCGGCAGGCCUAACACAUGCCAGUCGAACGGUAACAGGAAGCAGCUUGCUGCUUCGCUGACGAGUGGCGGACGGGUGAGUCAUGUCUGGGAAACUGCCUGAUGGAGGGGGAUAACUACUGGAAACGGUAGCUAAUACCGCAUAACGUCGCAAGACCAAAGAGGGGGACCUUAGGGCCUCUUGCCAUCGGAUGUGCCCAGAUGGGAUUAGCUAGUAGGUGGGGUAACGGCUCACCUAGGCGACGAUCCCUAGCUGGUCUGAGAGGAUGACCAGCCACACUGGAACUGAGACACGGUCCAGACUCCUACGGGAGGCAGCAGUGGGGAAUAUUGCACAAUGGGCGCAAGCCUGAUGCAGCCAUGCCGCGUGUAUGAAGAAGGCCUUCGGGUUGUAAAGUACUUUCAGCGGGGAGGAAGGGAGUAAAGUUAAUACCUCUGCUCAUUGACGUUACCCGCAGAAGAAGCACCGGCUAACUCCGUG
rnacentral:rRNA from 1 species